rnacentral:rRNA from 1 species
UGGGGAAUAUUGCACAAUGGGCGAAAGCCUGAUGCAGCAACGCCGCGUGAGUGAUGAAGGCCUUCGGGUUGUAAAGCUCUGUCUUCUGGGACGAUAAUGACGGUACCAGAGGAGGAAGCCACGGCUAACUACGUGCCAGCAGCCGCGGUAAUACGUAGGUGGCAAGCGUUGUCCGGAUUUACUGGGCGUAAAGGAUGCGUAGGCGGAUGCUUAAGUCAGAUGUGAAAUUCCCGGGCUUAACUUGGGAACUGCAUUUGAAACUGGGUAUCUAGAGUGCGGGAGAGGAAAGUGGAAUUCCUAGUGUAGCGGUGAAAUGCGUAGAGAUUAGGAAGAACACCAGUGGCGAAGGCGACUUUCUGGACCGUAACUGACGCUGAGGCAUGAAAGCGUGGGGAGCAAACA